rnacentral:rRNA from 1 species
CACGUAGGGCGCGAGCGUUGUCCGGAAUUAUUGGGCGUAAAGAGCUCGUAGGCGGUCUGUCGCGUCGGCUGUGAAAACCCGGAGCUCAACUCCGGGCCUGCAGUCGAUACGGGCAGACUGGAGUUCGGCAGGGGAGACUGGAAUUCCUGGUGUAGCGGUGAAAUGCGCAGAUAUCAGGAGGAACACCGAUGGCGAAGGCAGGUCUCUGGGCCAUUACUGACACUGAGAAGCGAAAGCAUGGGGAGCGAACAGG